AGUGGGCGUGCAGGAGAAGCUGUAGGUCAGGAGGUAGAGUUGGCAGUGGGCGUGCAGGAGAAGCUGUAGGUCGGAGAGGUAGAGUUGGCAGUGGGCGUGCAGGAGAAGCUGUAGGUCGGAGAGGUAGAGGUGGCAGUGGGCGUGCAGGAGAAGCUGUAGGUCGGAGAGGUAGAGGUGGCAGUGGGCGUGCAGGAGAAGCUGUAGGUCGGGGGGUAGAGGUGGCAGUGGGCGUGCAGGAGAACCUGUAGGUCAGAGUGGAGAGGUGGCAGUGGGCGUGCAGGAGAAGGUGUAGGUCAGGGGGUAGAGGUGGCAGUGGGCGUGCAGGAGAAGCUGUAGGUCGGGAGGUAGAGGUGGCAGUGGGCGUGCAGGAGAAGCUGUAGGUCAGGGGGUAGAGGUGGCAGUGGGCGUGCAGGAGAAGCUGUAGGUC
rnacentral:lncRNA from 1 species